GAUGAAGAACGCAGUGAAAUGCGAUAAGUAAUGUGAAUUGCAGAAUUCAGUGAAUCAUCGAAUCUUUGAACGCACAUUGCGCCCCUUGGUAUUCCGGGGGGCAUGCCUGUUCGAGCGUCAUUUCAACCCUCAAGCUCAGCUUGGUAUUGAGUCCAUGUCAGUAGUGGCAGGCUCUAAAAUCAGUGGCGGCGCCGCUGGGUCCUGAACGUAGUAAUAUCUCUCGUUACAGGUUCUCGGUGUGCUUCUGCCAAAACCCAAAUUUUCUAUGGUUGACCUCGGAUCAGGUAGGGAUACCCGCUGAACUUAAGCAUAUCAAUAAGCGGAGGA
rnacentral:misc_RNA from 1 species